UGUGUGUGUGUGCAUGUGUGUGUGUGUGUGUGUGUGUGUGUGUGUACAUCAAAGCGACAUAAUUGGUCACUGAUUACCAGCGUUUGCAUGUCAAGUGGUCAUGAUUCAAAGCGCACACACACACACAUGUACACACACGGACAUAUAUACGCCCACCCACCCGUCCACACACACACACACACACACACACGCAGUCAUUCCCCUCCAUGCCAUCUUGAGAAUAGCGUGUCGGUCCCUCAUUCCACACACACACACACACACACACACACACACACACGUACCCUAAGCUGGACUAAGGGAAGCAAUAUAUGGGCGGUGGCUGCGCAGAACAGUUCCACCAGUAUUCAAUUUCUUAGCAUAUCACCAGCGCUUGUUCACAGGCGCUCGGAUCAUUGCGAGAGCCGGGACGGAGCUUUCGGAAUGACGAGGUGAUAUGUUGGCUACGGGUCCUCUGCGAUUAGUUAGUCUGUUGGCAUUUCUGAUUACGUAAUGGCGUGUCGGUAAUGAUGCUAGGCUAGGUUUUGUUUCGAUAUAUUGAUUUCUUUGGGUCUUUGAUAGUCGUAAUAAUGUUAGGUUAGGUUUUGUUUUGAUAUAUUGAUUUUUUCGCUUCGAUAUAUUAAUUUCUUUGCGUCUUUGAUAGUCGUAGUGAUGUUAGGUUAGGUUUCGCUUUGGCAUAUUAAUUUUUUUGCGUCUUUGAUAGUCGUAAUGUUAGGUUAGGUUUUGUUUCGAUAUAUUAAUUUUUUCGCUUCGAUAUAUUAUUUUUUCGCGUCUCUGAUAGUGUCAUAGUGAUGUUAGGUUAGGUUUUGUUUCGAUAUAUUAAUUUUUUCGCUUCGAUAUAUUAUUUUUUCGCGUCUCUGAUAGUGUCAUAGUGAUGUUAGGUUAGGUUUCGCUUCGAUAUAUUAAUUAAACGCGUCUUUGAUAGUCGUAAUAAUGUUAGGUAAGGUUUUGUUUCGAUAUAUUGAUUUCUUUGCGUCUUUGAUAGUGUCGUAGUGAUGUCAGAUACGACUGCUUGCUUGGGAAGUUCGUCAGUCGGUUUCUUUGAUCAGCAUUGUGUCGUAGUGAUGUUAGUCGAGGUUUUGUUUUGGUAAGUUCAUUCCUUCGGUUCUUUGGUAAAAAAAAAUGCUGUGAUUAUGUUGGCUACGAUUUCUUUUCGGUUAGUUCAGCUGUCGGCUUCUUUGAUCAACGUCCUGUCGUAGUGGUUAGUUGGUUUUGUUUCAUUACGUCCAUUUGCUUCUUGGAUAAACGCGGCGUCAAGGUUGUGUUGGGUACGAUUUCCCUUUCGGUAAGUUCAUUCGUCGGGUUCAUUGACGUAACAAGGUGUCGGUCGUAAAGAUGGUAGCUGUUUUGUUUCGUUACGUCCUUUCGCUUCUCUGAUAAUCACGAUGUCAUGAGUGUUGGUUACGAUUUCUCUUUCGGUAAGUUCGUUCAUCAGGUCCUUUGACGUAACAAGGUGUCGGUCGUAAUGAUGUUAAUCGAGGUCUUGUUUUCUUACGUCCAUUCGCUUCUUUGAUAAAUGCAGCGUCAAGGUUGUGUUGGGUACGAUUUCCCUUUCGGUAAGUUCAUUCGUAGGGUUCAUUGACGUAACAAGGUGUCGGUCGUAAUGAUGUUAAUCGAGGUCUUGUUUUCUUACGUCCAUUCGCUUCUUUGAUAAAUGCGGCUUCAAGGUUGUGUUGGGUACGAUUUCCCUUUCGGUAAGUUCAUUCGUAGGGUUCAUUGACGUAACAAGGUGUUGAGCGUAAUGAUGGUAGUUGAA